rnacentral:tRNA from 2 species
GUCCCCAUCGUCUAGUGGCCCAGGACCCGGGCUUUUCACGCCUGUAACGCGGGUUCAAACCCCGCUGGGGACG